AGAUCUAGAUAAUUUAUUUUUUCUACUACUGAAACUUAUUCCUCUAGUUUUCUACUGAUGUAUAGUCUUAUACUAGACAAUAGUAGUCAAUACUAAAGUUAAAGGGAUAUUAUAUAAUAUAUAUAUACUUUUCUAGACUAGGUGAUAGCCCAGAUAUUAACCAUCUCUUCUUAUAGUUUACUACGAAUAGAAUUUUUUUUUUUUAAAGGGUUGCACGCCUAAACCAUGUCAUGAGGUUUUAAUCUUAGAAUAUUAAGUGAGAGGCAAGACAGAAGGUAUGACCUCUAGUCAGUGGCAACGUGUUGUCCUAAUGUGGUCACCCAUCAGCCUUUCUAUAAACUGAAUGCGUUGGACUAAACAAUUUAUGAGGAGGAGAGGGAUAGACGCGCACCUUCAGAAAGCUAGAUACUACAGUGUACUUGUUACUAUUCGUCUAACUAUCCUGCAGUGUUUUCCGAUAGUUCCUAAUACGGCUAAUACAUUUACAAUGUCAUCAGGGCCAGUCGAUCCUCAUACAACACUUGUAAUUAGUAAUUUUCCCUACACCUACACGUACAGUGAUGUAAGACCCCUCCUGACACCCUACAGUUACUGCAGCCUGUACAUGCCAACACGUGACGGAGAGUUUCUAGGCGUUGCCUAUGUUCGAACACUAUACAACUCAGAGGCUAUCAGAAUAAUAAAGAACUUUCAGGGCAGAGUUAUUCAUGGCAGAAGUCUCUCCGUGAAAGUCGCCCUGGCUCCUACUAGCCAAGAACAAAAAAGUGAUCAAGAUCACCUAGGAUACAACUCAAACAAUACCUCAGCAGUAACAUCAUCACUUCUUAGAGCUGUUGUCAACCUGUUCCACUGGUUUAUGGAGCUGUACGAGAACUUCUCUGAUGUAUACGAAGCUCCAAGUUGAUGUACUAUAGAUCAAAUCACUAAAUCAUCCUUGUAACGUUCUCUAUUAGAAUAAGCCAAAGUGUUUGUUUAUUAUUAGUAAUUAGUGUAUGUUUGUAUUUAUGGGAUUUAAAUAGUAUAUUUAAUUUUCCGAUUAUUUCCUUAAGGUUAUUGCCUUUAAUAUUAUUUAUUAAUAAUAAUAUAUUUAAUAAUUAUUAAUAAUUUAUCACAAUAGAGCCAUCGGACCUUUGUAUAUUAUUAAACAUAAUAAAAUUCAUGUCCAAUGUCAUGCAAAGACAUUGAAAAUCAGCAAUAAUUUAAGACACUGGCCUAUAUAAUUGAUAGAGACUGAAGCUGGUCUUAUCACAUGUUGGAACUGUAAUUGCUUUGCCCAUAAUGCUUCUUGGGGAAUGAUGCACUGAAAAUGAGCCAAUUUUAAAAUUAGCAUCAGUCUCUUCUAUUUUUUCAACUUUGCACGAACUUAAUUUCUAACCCCAAUAUGGUUGGUUCGCAUAGCUAGUUUAACCAAAGGUAUAUUAUACUGCAGUAAUUUCUCAAAUCGUCGCUUGUUGUGGUGUCAUAAAUAGGACAGAGCUCAAGUUGUUCCUCUUGUAUUUCAAAAUUACUGAAUAUAUAUGUGCUACACCCGUUACAUCAGUUAACUCAUCGAGAACCAAUGAAAAUAAUUCAAAAUCAGCUACUUUGUUCUUUUGUUCUUUAAUUCACCAUCUCUAUGUUUACGUUCACUAAAUGAUUAGCUAUGAAUUGCAAUUAAGUUUGACUAAAUGUUGCUGGCUUUCACUGCAGACUUAUUCUCGUUGUUCAGUUUCACAAAUACUGUUUGUUGCAUUUUUUAAAAAUAUUUUUCAACUCAAGUAGCUUGUUAGCUCUCAUUUUGCCGGUGUGAGCAUCCAAGGCCUUUUUGUGAUUAGUUUAAUGUCGUUUGACAUUCACUCUUUGGACAAUCUAUUGCAGGAAUGGCAGAGUCAGAAGUGAAUCUUAUUUGACACCUAUGUGCAGAAAAAUAAUCAUCUAUUUUCGUCCAUAUUUUUUCUUUUAGUAGCAGUUGCUGAUGUAGUUACUAAUUCUUAAUCAAUAUUUAAAUUUAUCAUUUUGAGAAAUUUAAUUGUCAGUGAAUUAGUGUAAAUUGUCUUGUGACCGCAGACAAUAAUGAAUAAAUAAAUGUAUAUGGGAGUAGUAGUCACUGAAAUAAAAUAAAUUUACAAUAUUAAUGACUUGUAAUUUUUGUGUAAGUCUAACUUUAACAUAUCGACUUAUUCAUGAGAAGAAGAAGAAUUAAAAAGUUAACAUGUGAAAAUCUGACAUAACAACCCUUAGAUUACUUUACGAUGGAUGUUGAUUAUAAAGAGCAUCCACGAUAUGACAAAUAAUGAUUUAUUAAUAUGUUACCUAGUAGAGGGUAUAGUGCAGUGGCGUAACUAGCCAUGUGUGAGUGGUGUGGACCUCACGGGGCAUCAAUUGAAGAUGGGGCAUCAAACUAAGGAUAAACUUCGUCAGUAAAAACAUGUCAUUAUACAAACAUGAACAAAGACAAAUUGAAGUAUUUUGAAAUGUUAGCUACAAAUUUAAUUAUUUUCUACUUUUUUACUCUCCGAUGUUCUUUCUUAAAUUAAACGUUCAUUAUUAACCAGGUAGAAUGAAGUUUUCUAUAUUUGUUUAAAUAUCUGAAGGCAACGCUCAUUUACACGCUCACUUUCUUCUGGGGGCACAUUUCGUGACUCAAUUGUUCAGUACGCUUCUUGCAUCUAGAUCAAGAGCCUAUAAAUAAAUGCCUUAGACACUAAAAAAUCAGAAUCUGGCUCUUAAUGGGCAUCGCGAACAAGUGGAAGAAAAAUGACAAAGACAAAAUCUAGGUCUGUUUUUAGGGGUUUGUGAAAUUACUAUUCAAGUACGAUCCUCUCCUGAGAGAACAAUUGCUUCGAACUAAGCUUAGUUCCAGACCAAACACAAAUACAAAACGAGCCUAUUGUAACUAUUGUAAUAUUGGGUGAUAAUGCGACUAAAAUUUUUCUUUUGUUUUUUUCUUUUACAGUUCCUCUGACAUCACGGAACUAAAUCGAUUUUUCAAAUGUUAAGACUACGUUGCAUGGAUAAUAAAGGGGUACAAAUUAUUAUGAGUUCUUUCAUUCAGAUCAUCUUAAUUCAUUAUCUGCUCGAAGCAUUAGGUCCUAAAAAAAGUCAUUUCGCUGUUUCAGUUCGAGGAGCCGCCGCACAGGGCAUCAUAUACCCUAGCUACGCCACUGGUAUAGCGAAUAGCUUAAAAGAGUAUAAAAGAUGACACUAAAAUUCGGGAGUGAAUUUAUUCCUAACAAUAGAUAGAAUUAGGUUACUAAGAUUGACUGUGUUAAAUUUGUGCUGGCACGUUCGUCCAGUGGUGUAUUAGUCAGUACUUAUAUUUACUAGGUUUUUCUAUAGAUAUGAAAGUACAGUAAUAGACUAAAACAAUAUUAGAUAUCUUUUUUGCAGAAUGUUAAUAGUAGACAUUUAGUGUGGUAUAAAUGCUUUAAGCGUGUAUGAUAUAACAAUAUAGUGCAUUUUUCCACAGUACGCAAAGGUAUGGAGUACCUGCACCUCUUCCAAUGUGGGGAAAAAUUAAUAAUUUUGUAUGCAUUUCAACGCUCAUUAUUGGUUUAGUAGAAGUUAAAAGUUAGGCGAUCCAUCACUGAGCGCCGGCACCUAUUUAUUUAAAAGCAAUGUAUAUAUGUAUAUAUAUAUAUA